UCGAUAGUUCUGGAGAAGGGAGUCCUUUGUUAAUCACCAGAGCAGACACAGCCUGGGUGGCAGCAAAACAUGUUUCUCUGCACUGCCCCACCAAUGUAUCUCAACCCAUUUCUGGAGGGACCAUAUCUAGAGGUAAGGGGGGAGUUCAGUCGCCAUUCCCAUCGAGUCCUUGGCCUCU
ensembl:misc_RNA